AACGUAGGUGGCAAGCGUUAUCCGGAUUCACUGGGCGUAAAGCGCUCGCGGGCGGUUUGGUAGGUUGGUUGUGAAAUCUCCCGGCCCAACUGGGAGGGUGCGACCAAAACCAUCAGACUUGAGGGCCAGAGAGGGACACGGAAUUCCCGGAGUAGCGGUAAAAUGCGUUGAUCUCGGGAGGAACACCAGUGGCGAAAGCGGUGUCCUGGCUGGAACCUGACGCUUAGGAGCGAAAGCGUGGGGAGCGAACGGG
rnacentral:rRNA from 1 species